AGCGAACGCUGGCGGCAGGCCUAACACAUGCAAGUCGAACGAACCUUUCGGGGUUAGUGGCGGACGGGUGAGUAACACGUGGGAACGUUCCUUUAGGUUCGGAAUAACUCAGGGAAACUUGUGCUAAUACCGAAUGUGCCCUUCGGGGGAAAGAUUUAUCGCCUUUAGAGCGGCCCGCGUCUGAUUAGCUAGUUGGUUGAGGUAAUGGCUCACCAAGGCGACGAUCAGUAGCUGGUCUGAGAGGAUGAUCAGCCACAUUGGGACUGAGACACGGCCCAAACUCCUACGGGAGGCAGCAGUGGGGAAUCUUGCGCAAUGGGCGAAAGCCUGACGCAGCCAUGCCGCGUGAAUGAUGAAGGUCUUAGGAUUGUAAAAUUCUUUCACCGGGGACGAUAAUGACGGUACCCGGAGAAGAAGCCCCGGCUAACUUCGUG
rnacentral:rRNA from 1 species